GUGCUCACUUCAGCUGCAUAUAUUCUAAAAAUUGAACUGAUAGAGAAACUAUUAACAUGGUACCUGUGCAAGGAUGACAUGCAAAUUUGUGAAGCAUUCCAUUAAAAA
rfam:Erinaceus europaeus unplaced genomic scaffold scaffold00306, whole genome shotgun sequence